CUAAACUGGAGUGAUCAAUCCCAUCUUGACACACGCACCGACAAGUCAAGUACUUGACUACACCCAGCAGCCUUCCGUCACUGAAUUAAAAAUUCAGGUAGUCCAGUGCCUAAGUGCAGUGAGUUGCUUGCAAGUCAUCAUGGCGGUCUCAGGUCGGAGGGAUAUUUAUAUCCAUAUUCCAUCGGAGCAAAUCUUGACAGUAGAAAUAGCUCC
rnacentral:lncRNA from 1 species